GACUCGAUGGUGUAGUUGGUUAUCACGACUGUCUUACAUUUAAAUAUGGACCACAGUCGGUCCUCAGUUCGAACCUGAGUCGAGUCA